rnacentral:rRNA from 1 species
GACGAACGUUGGCGGCGUGCUUAACACAUGCAAGUCGAACGGAAAGGCCCUGCUUUUGUGGGGUGCUCGAGUGGCGAACGGGUGAGUAACACGUGAGUAACCUGCCCUUGACUUUGGGAUAACUUCAGGAAACUGGGGCUAAUACCGGAUAGGAGCUCCUGCUGCAUGGUGGGGGUUGGAAAGUUUCGGCGGUUGGGGAUGGACUCGCGGCUUAUCAGCUUGUUGGUGGGGUAGUGGCUUACCAAGGCUUUGACGGGUAGCCGGCCUGAGAGGGUGACCGGCCACAUUGGGACUGAGAUACGGCCCAGACUCCUACGGGAGGCAGCAGUGGGGAAUAUUGCACAAUGGGCGGAAGCCUGAUGCAGCAACGCCGCGUGCGGGAUGACGGCCUUCGGGUUGUAAACCGCUUUCGCCUGUGACGAAGCGUGAGUGACGGUAAUGGGUAAAGAAGCACCGGCUAACUACGUGCCAGCAGCCGCGGUGAUACGUAGGGUGCGAGCGUUGUCCGGAUUUAUUGGGCGUAAAGGGCUCGUAGGUGGUUGAUCGCGUCGGAAGUGUAAUCUCGGGGCUUAACCCUGAGCGUGCUUUCGAUACGGGUUGACUUGAGGAAGGUAGGGGAGAAUGGAAUUCCUGGUGGAGCGGUGGAAUGCGCAGAUAUCAGGAGGAACACCAGUGGCGAAGGCGGUUCUCUGGGCCUUUCCUGACGCUGAGGAGCGAAAGCGUGGGGAGCGAACAGGCUUAGAUACCCUGGUAGUCCACGCUGUAAACGGUGGGUACUAGGUGUGGGGUCCAUUCCACGGGUUCCGUGCCGUAGCUAACGCUUUAAGUACCCCGCCUGGGGAGUACGGCCGCAAGGCUAAAACUCAAAGGAAUUGACGGGGCCCCGCACAAGCGGCGGAGCAUGCGGAUUAAUUCGAUGCAACGCGUAGAACCUUACCUGGGUUUGACAUGGAUCGGGAGUGCUCAGAGAUGGGUGUGCCUCUUUUGGGGUCGGUUCACAGGUGGUGCAUGCCUGUCGUCAGCUCGUGUCGUGAGAUGUUGGGUUAAGUCCCGCAACGAGCGCAACCCUUGUUCACUGUUGCCAGCACGUUAUGGUGGGGACUCAGUGGAGACCGCCGGGGUCAACUCGGAGGAAGGUGGGGAUGACGUCAAGUCCUCAUGCCCCUUAUGUCCAGGGCUUCACGCAUGCUACAAUGGCUGGUACAGAGAGUGGCGAGCCUGUGAGGGUGAGCGAAUCUCGGAAAGCCGGUCUCAGUUCGGAUUGGGGUCUGCAACUCGACCUCAUGAAGUCGGAGUCGCUAGUAAUCGCAGAUCAGCAACGCUGCGGUGAAUACGUUCCCGGG